rnacentral:snoRNA from 1 species
AGUCUGUGGUGCGGGCAACAUCAGAGCAAGUCCUUGUACUCCCAUGCAUCAUACAUGCUCUCGUCAUCGAACUGCACAAAAGAAGAUAUAUCAUUGCUUGGACA